GCCACAAAUACACAAAGCUCAAAAUCGUCUUCUGAGUUGCUUGUGCCUCUGUUGUAAUUCUGGACCGAUCUAUAUGGUUGAGACAUAGAAAUGGCAAUUUCUCUCAAUUCUGUUGGGUUCAACUCAAAGUUGCCAGCUAUUAUGUACCAGCAUGUGUCAAGAUCUUCUCUUCGAGCUUCAUCAUCUAAGACUAACCAAGUCAUUUUUCCCCUGGGAAUGAUUGGUUCAAGGGUUCAUACAAAGGGAAGGGGAAUGUGUCUUUCAGUUGCAGACAGUGAUCGUCUUGCUACGGACACCAGUGAUAAUAGUCCUGGUAGUGCUGAAGGUUCAAUUUCUAAUAAUCAGCUUUCAUCCUUGGAUUCUCCUGGAGGAACUAGCCAGCUCCAAACUAGUGUUGAUAAUGAGCCAGGACCUCAAACCUCUGGAGUUUCUAGUGGUUCCACAAUUCCAUCAGAUGUGAAGCCGGAGAGACAACCUGACUUCCAAUCUACAGCCAAAAGAUCACCUCUAACAGCAAGAGAGAGACUAAAGGCUGCCAGGGUUCUCAGUCGUUAUACGGAAUCAAAGGCAUCAAAAUCAGAAAUGGGCAGCAAAGUACUAGAUGCUCUGAAGGAAAGUGAAAAGGGAAAGAAGAGAUCUGGCCUUCCAGAAGCCCCUACAAACUUGUUUGAUGACAGUGACAGAGGGAUGCCAAAGGAAGGAUGGACAUUUGAGUUUCCAGGAGGUGCUGAUCUAUUUGUGAUAGUGUUUUCAUUUGUUUUCAUCAGCACAGUUAUGUUUGCAACAACUUCAUGUUGUCUGGAAAGUUGGUGCAAUCCAUUUCAAUGAGUACUAAGGUGAAGUUCAAAGGGAUUCUGCAUUUUCGGUUACCCAUUAAAGAUCAUACUGUUUUGACGUCAGGCACAUAUGGGGUAGGAUUUUAAAGGUAUUUUAAGACGAGAUACAUGCAUUCAUGUUCAAAAGUUGUUUGGCCCGCAUUUAUGUAUCAAAGAUUUGCAUUUGGGAAUGCCAACAGAUGCCCCCACUUUUGUAUUUCACCUUAG
rnacentral:misc_RNA from 1 species